ACGAACGCUGGCGGCGUGCUUAACACAUGCAAGUCGAACGGAAAGGCCCCUUUGGGGGUACUCGAGUGGCGAACGGGUGAGUAACACGUGAGUAACCUGCCCUUGACUUCGGGAUAACUUCAGGAAACUGGGGCUAAUACCGGAUAGGAAUCCUUGCUGCAGGGUGGGGGUUGGAAAGCUUCGGCGGUUUUGGAUGGACUCGCGGCUUAUCAGCUUGUUGGUGGGGUAGUGGCUUACCAAGGCUUUGACGGGUAGCCGGCCUGGGAGGGCGACCGGCCACAUUGGGACUGAGAUACGGCCCAGACUCCUACGGGAGGCAGCAGUGGGGAAUAUUGCACAAUGGGCGGAAGCCUGAUGCAGCAACGCCGCGUGCGGGAUGACGGCCUUCGGGUUGUAAACCGCUUUCAGCAGGGGCGAAGCUUGUGGUGACGGUACCUGCAGAAGAAGCACCGGCUAACUACGUG
rnacentral:rRNA from 1 species